UACGUAGGGGGCAAGCGUUAUCCGGAUUUACUGGGUGUAAAGGGGGCGCAGACGGCGAUGCAAGCCAGGAGUGAAAGCCCGGGGCCCAACCCCGGGACUGCUCUUGGAACUGCGUGGCUGGAGUGCAGGAGGGGCAGGCGGAAUUCCUGGUGUAGCGGUGAAAUGCGUAGAUGUCAGGAGGAACACCGGUGGCGAAGGCGGCCUGCUGGACUGCAACUGACGUUGAGGCCCGAAAGCGUGGGGAGCAAACAGG
rnacentral:rRNA from 1 species